rnacentral:rRNA from 1 species
CCUACGGGUGGCAACAGUGAGGAAUAUUGGUCAAUGGACGAGAGUCUGAACCAGCCAAGUAGCGUGAAGGAUGACUGCCCUAUGGGUUGUAAACUUCUUUUAUAUAGGAAUAAAACAAGGUAUGCAUGCCUUCUUGUAUGUACUAUAUGAAUAAGGAUCGGCUAACUCCGUGCCAGCAGCCGCGGUAAUACGGAGGAUCCGAGCGUUAUCCGGAUUUAUUGGGUUUAAAGGGAGCGUAGGUGGAUUGUUAAGUCAGUUGUGAAAGUUUGCGGCUCAACCGUAAAAUUGCAGUUGAAACUGGCAGGCUUGAGUACAGUAGAGGUGGGCGGAAUUCGUGGUGUAGCGGUGAAAUGCUUAGAUAUCACGAAGAACUCCGAUUGCGAAGGCAGCUCACUAGACUGCAACUGACACUGAUGCUCGAAAGUGUGGGUAUCAAACAGGAUUAGAUACCCUUGUAGUC